rnacentral:rRNA from 1 species
AAUUUUGGUCAAUGGGGGCAACCCUGAUCCAGCCAUCCCGCGUGUUCGAUGAAGGCCNNNGGGUUNUCAAUAACUUUUGGUAGNGACNAGUAGGCUCGGGCUAAGACCUGGAGCUGCUGACUGCACCUGCGGAAGAAGCACCGGCUAACUACGUGCCAGCAGCCGCGGUAAUACGUAGAGUGCAAGCGUUCAUCGGAAUUACUGGGCGUAAAGCGUGCGCAGGCGGUUCGGCAAGAAGGAUGUGAAAGCCCAGGGCUUAACCUUGGAACUGCAUUCUUAACUGCCGGGCUAGAGUAUGUCAGAGGGGGGUAGAAUUCCGCGUGUAGCAGUGAAAUGCGUAGAGAUGCGGAGGAAUACCGAUGGCGAAGGCAGCCCCCUGGGAUAAUACUGACGCUCAUGCACGAAAGCGUGGGGAGCAAACAG